GUCUACAGCCAUACCACCCUGAACGCGCCCGAUUUCGUCUGAUCUCAGAAGCUAAGCAGGGUCAGGCCUGGUUAGUACUUGGAUAGGAGACCGCCUGGGAAUACCAGGUGCCGUAGGCU
ensembl:rRNA 5S_rRNA 5S ribosomal RNA